rnacentral:rRNA from 1 species
UACGUAGGGGGCAAGCGUUGUCCGGAUUUAUUGGGCGUAAAGAGCGUGUAGGCGGCCUGAUAGGUCGGUUGUGAAAACUGGAGGCUUAACCUUCAGACGUCGGCCGAAACCAUCUGGCUAGAGUCCGGAAGAGGAGAGUGGAAUUCCUGGUGUAGCGGUGAAAUGCGCAGAUAUCAGGAAGAACACCCGUGGCUAAGGCGGCUCUCUAGUACGGUACUGACGCUGAGACGCGAAAAGCGUGGGGAGCGAACAGG